rnacentral:rRNA from 1 species
UGAACGCUGGCGGCAGGCCUAACACAUGCAAGUCGAGCGGAAACGAGUUAUCAGAACCUUCGGGGAACGAUAACGGCGUCGAGCGGCGGACGGGUGAGUAAUGCCUAGGAAAUUGCCCUGAUGUGGGGGAUAACCAUUGGAAACGAUGGCUAAUACCGCAUGAUGCCUACGGGCCAAAGAGGGGGACCUUCGGGCCUCUCGCGUCAGGAUAUGCCUAGGUGGGAUUAGCUAGUUGGUGAGGUAAGGGCUCACCAAGGCGACGAUCCCUAGCUGGUCUGAGAGGAUGAUCAGCCACACUGGAACUGAGACACGGUCCAGACUCCUACGGGAGGCAGCAGUGGGGAAUAUUGCACAAUGGGCGCAAGCCUGAUGCAGCCAUGCCGCGUGUGUGAAGAAGGCCUUCGGGUUGUAAAGCACUUUCAGUCGUGAGGAAGGUAGUGUAGUUAAUAGCUGCAUUAUUUGACGUUAGCGACAGAAGAAGCACCGGCUAACUCCGUGCCAGCAGCCGCGGUAAUACGGAGGGUGCGAGCGUUAAUCGGAAUUACUGGGCGUAAAGCGCAUAUGAACAACCCACCGGACUGAGCACAGGGAUUUAAAAUCUGGUCUCGGAAUUGCAUUUGAAACUGGCAGACUAGAGUACUGUAGAGGGGGGUAGAAUUUCAGGUGUAGCGGUGAAAUGCGUAGAGAUCUGAAGGAAUACCGGUGGCGAAGGCGGCCCCCUGGACAGAUACUGACACUCAGAUGCGAAAGCGUGGGGAGCAAACAGGAUUAGAUACCCUGGUAGUCCACGCCGUAAACGAUGUCUACUUGGAGGUUGUGGCCUUGAGCCGUGGCUUUCGGAGCUAACGCGUUAAGUAGACCGCCUGGGGAGUACGGUCGCAAGAUUAAAACUCAAAUGAAUUGACGGGGGCCCGCACAAGCGGUGGAGCAUGUGGUUUAAUUCGAUGCAACGCGAAGAACCUUACCUACUCUUGACAUCCAGAGAACUUUCCAGAGAUGGAUUGGUGCCUUCGGGAACUCUGAGACAGGUGCUGCAUGGCUGUCGUCAGCUCGUGUUGUGAAAUGUUGGGUUAAGUCCCGCAACGAGCGCAACCCUUAUCCUUGUUUGCCAGCGAGUAAUGUCGGGAACUCCAGGGAGACUGCCGGUGAUAAACCGGAGGAAGGUGGGGACGACGUCAAGUCAUCAUGGCCCUUACGAGUAGGGCUACACACGUGCUACAAUGGCGCAUACAGAGGGCAGCCAACUUGCGAAAGUGAGCGAAUCCCAAAAAGUGCGUCGUAGUCCGGAUUGGAGUCUGCAACUCGACUCCAUGAAGUCGGAAUCGCUAGUAAUCGUGGAUCAGAAUGCCACGGUGAAUACGUUCCCGGGCCUUGUACACACCGCCCGUCACACCAUGGGAGUGGGCUGCAAAAGAAGUAGGUAGUUUAACCUUCAAAAAAGUAUCCGUUGUCCCACAACUCAUGACUGGGGUGAAGUCGUAACAAGGUAGCGCUAGGGGAACCUGGCGCUGGAUCACCUCCUUAAACGAUGAU